AUUACCUGCAACAUUAUGUACAAUGAUGUUUUAAACAUUAGGCUAGUGUGGCGCAAGAUAUGACAAACUUACUAGUUUCCAUGAACUUAUAAGUCAACUAAUUCAUUUCUCAAAGUGUAAAUCUUUAUAUCCAACAUUUUAAGCCCAUGUUGCAAACAUUUCAUUUAGCAAAAAACAGCUCAACUAGGCAUAUUCAUGACAAUCACUUGUCAAGUGUUCCAUCUCAUUAACAACCUAUAAGCAACAUAUUCAACGCCCACCAGUAGUUAUGGAGCGACCCUAAAUAUAAAUAUUUGGCCUGACGUCUCCGACGAUCAUCUGGCUAUGAUCCCCCCUUAUUUACUUUGCCUCGCUAUUCACUUGCCCUAGCAGCCGGACACCGUUUGAACCACGUGCCAUUAAUAGUUAUGAAUCCCAACAAAUUUUCAAUCCGUUUUCAUAUAAAUCGUGGCAAUUUUAAACGAUAGCACGCUUCUUUUUUUUCACGUGGUUUGAAAUCCUUGCAAACAUUUACCAUAUUUUCAACACAAUGUACAUGUGAAAACAUUAAGUUCUACCAUUAAGCCAAAACAAAGCACGCUUGCUUCUCAUCCGAAAAUUCUAGUAAGUAAAGCAUAUACAAGACUCACCGAGAGCGUGCCGAGCAAACUUGUUAAACGUGCAAGCUUACGGGUUUCCCAAGUUCGGACCUAAACACAUCAAACCAAACUUAUUAAGGUUCACGAUAGGUCAAAAGUUUAUCAAUGCCGUGUAAGGCUGAGCUAUCCGGUAUGGUUUCUGAAACAGAGCAGUCCCGGGAAACCGAUGAAAACCAAUAUCAAUUUAACUCAGAAAUUUAUGUAAUCUUACAAGGACAUAGACAAAGAUGCUAGGAAGACAAGUUGUAGGGUGAAAAUUCAACACACCAAAAUCUUGUCAGAACUGGACCAGGAUGGAAAACAAACGAAUUCGAGGCACGGAUUCUGAGUGUUAUUUUCUGUUCA